rnacentral:lncRNA from 1 species
UACAAUUUCAACAUAUAUCCUCAUAUAUAUUCUCCUUCUAACUUAAGCAUCGGAGGGGCGACGAGGACACACCUCGUUGCCUUUGUUGCAGGUACCGGAAUGCCUUGUUCGUACUCUUUCUUAGUCCUCAUGCCAGGGAGAUCUACCAGGUAUGAUUUUUGGUAGCAUCAAUGACGCCUUCUGUGGAAAUUACUACCAAAAGCCAUGGUGAAUACACAAUUAGGUCUUCCUUCAGGAAGCUCAUCCAUUCUAAACAUCCUCCUGCUGAAGAUCCUCCAACUCCUCAAAAAAAAUUAACAGAAAUACCAAUACUCCCAACCAACAGUUGUUACCACUAGAGCAUUCAAGGAACAUCGUCAACAACUUAUUAGCUUGAAUCAACUGCUAAACCUAAGCACCACCGACCCCAACACCAGAAAGCAAAUUCAUGGCUGAUGCUCGAACUCGAGGUUUCGUUCUUAGUGUUCAUGUUGUUGGGACCUUAGGCAUAGAGUCCACACCCACGACCUCGAGGUUGGUCACUUGAACAUUGUGGAAGGCUAGUCCACGUGGAAGUACUAGUAGAGCUUAGGCUCAAGCCUAACAGAAAAGCUGCUAGUGGAAUGACCACAACUUAAAGCUUUAUUGCAAAUAGCUAUCCCUGCCCUCGGGUAUGUAAAUUGCUUAAUUUGUGUCCUUUUGGCCUUGCGUGCCCUUAAG